rfam:Medicago truncatula strain A17 chromosome 4, whole genome shotgun sequence.
GAUGGAUCAAAUCCAAUCCAUUAACAAAAAAAUUUGUUUGAUGGAUAGAUUGGAUGUAUUUUAUA